rfam:Brachypodium distachyon strain Bd21 chromosome 2, whole genome shotgun sequence.
CUACUACUCCCUCUCUGUCCAACAAAAAAUGUCUCAAGUUUGUUAAAAUUUGGAUUUAUCUAGACAUGACUUAGUGUAUAGAUGCAUUCAAAUUUAGUCAAAGUUGAGACAUCUUUUGUUGGACAGAGGAAGUAUUCA